AGGGGGACAACAGUUGGAAACGACUGCUAAUACCGCAUACGAUCUAAUCUCGGCAUCGAGGAUAGAUGAAAGGUGGCCUCUACAUGUAAGCUAUCACUGAAGGAGGGGAUUGCGUCUGAUUAGCUAGUUGGAGGGGUAACGGCCCACCAAGGCGAUGAUCAGUAGCCGGUCUGAGGGGAUGAACGGCCACAUUGGGACUGAGACACGGCCCAG
rnacentral:rRNA from 1 species